rnacentral:lncRNA from 1 species
GUGACAUUUGCCUGCAACAUCUGGUCCCCUGGGAGGUCAGUGCAGGGUUCCUCCAUCUUGACAUGAGUAAAUUCUAGAUUAGGUAUUUGGCAGUUAACUCAUCUGGAUAUAUGGGAACAGAAGUGCCAGACACGUAGAUAAUAUUUGGAGAACAGGAGCAGACUUGGAACAUGCUGAAUAGAGGACAAGGAAGUGGAUAUUUGGACAAAUAUAACCAGUGACCAGAACACAACAGAUGCCAAUAACAUUAAGACCCUGAAAGCAGAGGAUGCAGCCCGUGGAGCUCUGGAAGAUGAAAGAAUUAUACUUUGGUGAAGUCCAGUAAUUCAAGUGUUUGGCUAACAAUCAUCAAGGCCACAAAAACCCAGCCUCUGCUCUUGGCAGUAUCAGGAACUUCAUGGAAUACAUCACUUUCAAAUUGCAGCUGCAAAUGGUCUUGUUAAAGGUAUCAUCAGACAAACUUAAAGAUGAUCUGACAAUGUCAUUUUCCAAGGGACUGAUAGAAAGAUUGAGUAUCAUGAAAUCAGAACAGACAACAGAGAAUCAGAUUUGGACUGAAUCAGAAUAA